GACGAACGCUGGCGGCGUGCUUAACACAUGCAAGUCGAACGGAAAGGCCCUGCUUUUGUGGGGUGCUCGAGUGGCAAACGGGUGAGUAACACGUGAGUAACCUGCCCUUAACUUUGGGAUAACUUCAGGAAACUGGGGCUAAUACCGGAUAGGAGCUCCUGCUGCAUGGUGGGGGUUGGAAAGUUUCGGCGGUUGGGGAUGGACUCGCGGCUUAUCAGCUUGUUGGUGGGGUAGUGGCUUACCAAGGCUUUGACGGGUAGCCGGCCUGAGAGGGUGACCGGCCACAUUGGGACUGAGAUACGGCCCAGACUCCUACGGGAGGCAGCAGUGGGGAAUAUUGCACAAUGGGCGGAAGCCUGAUGCAGCAACGCCGCGUGCGGGAUGACGGCCUUCGGGUUGUAAACCGCUUUCGCCUGUGACGAAGCGUGAGUGACGGUAAUGGGUAAAGAAGCACCGGCUAACUACGUG
rnacentral:rRNA from 1 species